rnacentral:lncRNA from 1 species
AUGCACACGUAUGUGUAUUGCAGCACUGUUCACAAUAGCAAAGACUUGGAACCAACCCAAAUGCCCAUCAAUGAUAGACUGAAUAAAGAAAACACGGGAUAUAUACACCAUGGAAUAUAUACACCAUGGAAUAUAUACACCACGGAAUAUAUACACCAGGGAAUAUAUACACCAGGGAAUAUAUACACCAGGGAAUAUAUACACCAGGAAUAUAUACACCGGAAUAUAUACACCACGGAAUAUAUACACCAGGGAAUAUAUACACCACGGAAUAUAUAUACCAGGGAAUAUAUACACCAGGGAAUAUAUACACCAUGGAAUAUAUACACCAGGGAAUAUAUACACCAUGGAACACAUAUACACCAGGAAUAUAUACACCAUGGAAUAUAUACACCAUGGAAUAUAUACACCAGGGAAUAUAUACACCACGGAAUAUAUACACCAGGGAAUAUAUACACCAGGGAAUAUAUACACCAGGGAAUAUAUACACCACGGAAUAUAUACACCAGGGAAUAUAUACACCAGGGAAUAUAUACACCAGGGAACAUAUACACCAGGGAACAUAUACACCACGGAACAUAUACACCACGGAAUAUAUACACCAGGGAAUAUAUACACCAGGGAAUAUAUACACCAGGGAAUAUAUACACCAUGGAAUAUAUACACCACGGAAUAUAUACACCAUGGAAUAUAUACACCAGGGAAUAUAUACACCACGGAAUAUAUACACCAUGGAAUAUAUACACCAGGGAAUAUAUACACCAGGGAAUAUAUACACCAGGGAAUAUAUACACCAGGGAAUAUAUACACCAUGGAAUAUAUACACCAGGGAAUAUAUACACCAGGGAAUAUAUACACCAAGGAAUACUAUGCAGCCAUAAAAAGGAAGGAGAUCAUGUCCUUUGCAGGGACACGGAUGAAGCUGGAAGACACCAUUCUCAGCAGACUAUCAUGAGAACAGAAAACCAAACACAGCAUGUUCUCACUCAUAAGUGGGAGCUGAACAGUGAGAACACAUGGACACAGAGAGGGGAACAUCACACACUGGGGUCUGUCAGGGGGUGGGGGGUGAGGGGAGGGAGAGCAUUAGGACAAAUACCUAAUGCAUGUGGGUCUUAA